UGUUGAGCCGUGCGGGUGUGUCAGGAGUCUCCGUCGCCAAACAUAGUCUUGGCACAUGCGACAAAGCCAAGUGGCAUAUAAGCUGCAAAGAUUGAUAUAAAGACAGGAAGAGUUCGUUCCGUUCGGCCGGCAAAAACCUAGCGUGAGAGCAGCCUGUCAGAAAGGACACUGAGGAGUGGAGCAAAAGCACACGGAAAGAAAACAAAUAAGGCUUCAGCACGAACCACGUGCAAGGCAAGCAGCGAGCCGAAAAAGAGUCUGAAAGAAAGGAUUGAUUUCCGGCGAGAACCGCAACCAUCAGACAAAUCGCCCCGAGACAAGAGUAAGACCAAAUCAGGCCAUAUCAGUAGAGAAACUAGCUGACAGUGUUCCCUGUAGGGCGGUUUUUUCCUGGUUUUCUUUCUCCAGAGACGG